CGGCUGCGAGGUGAGAAAACUGUCUGCUCACGCGUCUGGUUAUUCAGGUUAAGUAGGAAGCGGUCACGGCCGCGUCUGAAGAGAUUCGGGGAUGGGCAUCCCGGCGCAGUUG
rnacentral:ncRNA from 1 species